rnacentral:lncRNA from 1 species
AUGCCCACGAUAUUAGAACAUGAGGUUUAUGACUUGAUUUCAAGCAUUCCCAUUCAUGUUAGAUAUUAUGAUGACCAUGUACUUCAUGAAAUCCCUCACCCAUGUAUUAUGGAUUAUUAUUGAUGGUCAUGUAUUCAAGAAAGUCACGCUGUGUCAGUUUCCUUCCAUCGAAUCCUGGGGGUACUUGUACCCAAAAAAUAUAGCUGUGUGCCUAGAGCCAUGCCAUGUUUUC